rfam:Leishmania braziliensis strain MHOM/BR/75/M2903 7SL RNA gene, partial sequence.
UCCUAGGUGGAGCGGGGGUGUCGUGGACCAGCGAGGGUGGCGCGCUGCGUUGACGCGGUGCUCUGCUUGGCUGUGUGUCGGUGUGGCCUGCCCCCCUGUAGAGGGGUGUCGUAGGCUACCCGUUGAAGCGAGGGAAACC